rfam:Camelus ferus unplaced genomic scaffold scaffold228, whole genome shotgun sequence.
GAGGGUAUAGCUCAGUGGUGGAGCACAAGCUUAGCAUGCACAAGGUUCUGGAUUCAAUCCCCAGUACCCCCA